UACAUGUGGGGCAAGCGUUGUUCGGAAUUACUGGGCAUAAAGGGUGCGUAGGCGGCUUGCCAAGUCACUGGUGAAAGUUUUCGGCCCAACCGGAAAAUUGCCUGUGAUACUGGCGAACUUGAGUGCGUGAGGGGUGGGGGGAACGAGCAGUGUAGCGGUGAAAUGCGUAGAUAUUGCUCGGAAGGCCGGAGCCGAAGGGGCCCCACUGGUACGCAACUGACGCUGAGGCACGAAAGCGUGGGGAGCAAACAGG
rnacentral:rRNA from 1 species